UGCGUAUUGUUAUGCGUUUACUUUUCUACAUUGGUUAGAGGUAUAGGGGGAGGGUUGAGAUCUCACAAACAUGUUUAACCCCGCCGCAUUUUUGCGCCUGUCCCAAGUCAGGAGCCUCUGGCCUUUGUUAGUCUUGUAUUAUUUUAGUUUUAGUUUCUUGUGUACAAUUUGGAAAUUAGUAUGGCGUUCAUUAUCACUAGACUAGUAUAUAUUUGUUUAGGGACCAGCUGAAGGACGCCUCCGGGUGCGGGAAUUCCUCGCUACAUUGAAGACCUGUUGGUGACCCUCUGCUGUUGUUUUUUAUUUGGUCGGGUUGUUGUCUCUUUGACACAUUCCCCAUUUCCAUUCUCAAUUUUAUU
rnacentral:lncRNA from 1 species